rnacentral:rRNA from 1 species
CUUUAUUGGAGAGUUUGAUCCUGGCUCAGGACGAACGCUGGCGGCGUGCCUAAUACAUGCAAGUCGAGCGGACUUGAUGGAGUGCUUGCACUCCUGAUGGUUAGCGGCGGACGGGUGAGUAACACGUAGGCAACCUGCCCUCAAGACUGGGAUAACUACCGGAAACGGUAGCUAAUACCGGAUAAUUUAUUUCACAGCAUU